rnacentral:rRNA from 1 species
GUGCACGCUGGCGGUAGGCCUAACCCAUGCAAGUCGCACGGCAGCACAGUAAGAGCUUGCUCUUACGGGUGGCGAGUGGCGGACGGGUGAGGAAUACAUCGGAAUCUACUUUUUCGUGGGGGAUAACGUAGGGAAACUUACGCUAAUACCGCAUACGACCUACGGGUGAAAGCAGGGGAUCUUCGGACCUUGCGCGAUUGAAUGAGCCGAUGUCGGAUUAGCUAGUUGGCGGGGUAAAGGCCCACCAAGGCGACGAUCCGUAGCUGGUCUGAGAGGAUGAUCAGCCACACUGGAACUGAGACGCGGUCCAGACUCCUACGGGAGGCAGCAGUGGGGAAUAUUGGACAAUGGGCGCAAGCCUGAUCCAGCCAUACCGCGUGGGUGAAGAAGGCCUUCGGGUUGUAAAGCCCUUUUGUUGGGAAAGAAAAGCAGCAGGUUAAUACCCCGCUGUUCUGACGGUACCCAAAGAAUAAGCACCGGCUAACUUCGUG